rnacentral:lncRNA from 1 species
UUUAAAGUGCAAGGUGCAAAACAUGUCAAGGCAAAGUUUCUAAAUUUGGCCAAUGUUCAAGCCCUUCUGUUUUGAUGAUGCAGGCUUCAAAUGAAAAAACUUCCAACAUCAAAGUUGUAGAUCUUUUCAAUAAAAUCAACAUGGACUUAAAUUUUGCAUCAUUUGGAUUUUUGAUGAAAGAGUUAUGGGCACUUGAAGUUGGACUUUUUUGCCUUUCAAUGCAUUUGGUCCAAAAGGACCUAUAAUGUCUUGCAUUAUCA